UACGUAGGGGGCAAGCGUUGUCCGGAUUCAUUGGGCGUAAAGCGCGUGUAGGCGGUCCGGUAAGUCCGCUGUGAAAGUCGAGGGCUCAACCCUCGAAUGCCGGUGGAUACUGUCGGGCUAGAGUGCGGAAGAGGCGAGUGGAAUUCCUGGUGUAGCGGUGAAAUGCGCAGAUAUCAGGAGGAACACCUAUUGCGAAGGCAGCUCGCUGGGACGUUACUGACGCUGAGACGCGAAAGCGUGGGGAGCAAACAGG
rnacentral:rRNA from 1 species